rnacentral:lncRNA from 10 species
UUAGAAAUGGAGAACAUUGGGCCCCACCACGGUUACACUGAACUAGGAUUUGCACUCUAACAAGACCACCAGUUUCAGAGGAGAUUGCGAGGAUGAAGCCCACAUGGUGGAAUUAAUGCCCUUGUAAGAAGACGAGGAGACACCAGAGUUUCCUCUCUUUCCUCCAUGUGAUGACACAGUAAGAAGGUGGCCAACUACAAGCCAAGAAACAGGCCCUCAUCAGGAACCUAAUCUGCUGUCACCUUGAGGCUUCGCACCUCCAGAGCUGUGA